GAUGAACGCUGGCGGCGUGCUUAACACAUGCAAGUCGAACGGAAAGGCCCAAGCUUGCUUGGGUACUCGAGUGGCGAACGGGUGAGUAACACGUGAGUGAUCUGCCCUGCACUUCGGGAUAAGCCUGGGAAACUGGGUCUAAUACCGGAUAGGACCACAUUUUGGAUGGUGUGGUGGAAAGUUUUUCGGUGUGGGAUGAGCUCGCGGCCUAUCAGCUUGUUGGUGGGGUAAUGGCCUACCAAGGCGUCGACGGGUAGCCGGCCUGAGAGGGUGUACGGCCACAUUGGGACUGAGAUACGGCCCAGACUCCUACGGGAGGCAGCAGUGGGGAAUAUUGCACAAUGGGCGCAAGCCUGAUGCAGCGACGCCGCGUGGGGGAUGACGGCCUUCGGGUUGUAAACUCCUUUCGCUAGGGACGAAGCGCAAGUGACGGUACCUGGAGAAGAAGCACCGGCUAACUACGUG
rnacentral:rRNA from 1 species